ACGCACGCUGGCGGCGUGCUUCACCCCUGCCAGUCGCACGGAAAGGCCCUGCUUUUGUGGGGUGCUCGAGUGGCGAACGGGUGAGUAACACGUGAGUAACCUGCCCUUGACUUUGGGAUAACUUCAGGAAACUGGGGCUAAUACCGGAUAGGAGCUCCUGCUGCAUGGUGGGGGUUGGAAAGUUUCGGCGGUUGGGGAUGGACUCGCGGCUUAUCAGCUUGUUGGUGGGGUAGUGGCUUACCAAGGCUUUGACGGGUAGCCGGCCUGAGAGGGUGACCGGCCACAUUGGGACUGAGAUACGGCCCAGACUCCUACGGGAGGCAGCAGUGGGGAAUAUUGCACAAUGGGCGGAAGCCUGAUGCAGCAACGCCGCGUGCGGGAUGACGGCCUUCGGGUUGUAAACCGCUUUCGCCUGUGACGAAGCGUGAGUGACGGUAAUGGGUAAAGAAGCACCGGCUAACUACGCG
rnacentral:rRNA from 1 species